AUCGCCUGGGUAACCCGGAGACGCGGCGGGCGUUGAAAAUGCAAUGGGGCAUGUGGGAUGAAGAGGUGGGGAAGGGUACUGGGGCAGAGAGAUGCCGAUCGAUAGAAACAGCGAGGAGAGACGGAGAGAGACCAGAGACUCAAGGGCAAAGAGAGACGAAGGACCGGCGGGAGGAAGAGAGAGAGAGACAGAGAGACAGACUCACAGACUGGGAGGACCGGAGACUCGACGCGAGGAGAGACAGUGAAAAUAAGUGAACAAACAUAGAGACACGGGUCCAAGUUAUAAGAGGGCUGAGUGGAUCAGAGGGUCAGGGCCGGGCAAACAGGUGUCAGAACAGUUAGCAAGAGAGAGGCAGAUCAGAAAGGGAUGCAGAUGAAAGAGACACAAAGAAGGAAACGCAGAAUGGGUUCACAGAGACAAGAAAUGCAGAUAUCCAGACUCAAGAGGUAGACAAGAAGGGAGAGGGACAGAAACAAGAAGGGAGAAAAGGGACAGAAAUUAGAGAUACAGUAAGAUGGAUUGACAGUUUUCGAAGACCUAGAGAAAGAUGACAGCACGAAGAGAGACAGGGAGAAUCCGAGGUAAAACUGUUAGGAAAACUUAGGAGUCCAGAUGCUGUCCAGUUAUAUGCUACCCUGUACAGGUUGAUAGGUUGCAAAUGCUUUCUGUCCAGUGUAUCGCUUUGUAGCUCACUAAGCAGUUUUGUAUCCAACUUUGUGCUUUUAUUUCAGUGUUUUUCUUUUUCUUUCUUUCUUUUUUUUUUUUUUUUUUUUGACGGAGUCUCGCUGUUGCCAGACUGGAGUGCAGUGGCACGAUCUCGGCUCACUGCAACCUCCGUCUCCCAGGUUCAAGCGAUUCUCCUGCCUCAGCCUCCCGAGUAGCUGGGACUGCAGGCUGCUCCACCACACCCGGCUGAUUUUUGUAUUUUUAGUAGAGAUGGGGUUUUACCAUGUUGGCCAGACUGGUCUUGACCUCCAGACCUCUGGUGAUCCGCCCACCUCGGCCUCCCAAAUUGCUGGAAUUACAGGUGUGAGCCACCGCGGCCGGCCAGUGUUUAUUCUUCCUUUCCUGUCUUCCUAGAAUCAUCUUGCUGCUUCCCUCAGUACGGUAAAUAAAUCUUUUGACACAUGCUCACUGAGAGUCAUGUUUUUAACUGUUUUGAAAUUAUAUUUGGCAGUCUGAAGGGAACCUGUUCUCCGGGCUAGGGGACAAACAGGGAAAAAGAAAAUAGUGGCCGG
rnacentral:lncRNA from 10 species